rnacentral:rRNA from 1 species
GAUGAACGCUAGCGGGAGGCCUAACACAUGCAAGCUGAGCGGUAGAGUUUCUUCGGAGACUUGAGAGCGGCGUACGGGUGCGGAACACGUGUGCAACCUGCCUUUAUCAGGGGGAUAGCCUUUCGAAAGGAAGAUUAAUACCCCAUAAUAUAUAGAGUGGCAUCACUUUAUAUUGAAAACUGAGGUGGAUAAAGAUGGGCACGCGCAAGAUUAGAUAGUUGGUGAGGUAACGGCUCACCAAGUCGAUGAUCUUUAGGGGGCCUGAGAGGGUGCUCCCCCACACUGGUACUGAGACACGGACCAGACUCCUACGAGAGGCAGGAGUGAGGAAUAUUGGACAAUGGGUUAGCGCCUGAUCCAGCCAUCCCGCGUGAAGGACGACGGCCCUAUGGGUUGUAAACUUCUUUUGUACAGGGAUAAACCUAUUUACGUGUAAAUAGCGGAAGGUACUGUACGAAUAAGCACCGGCUAACUCCGUGCCAGCAGCCGCAGUAC